rnacentral:rRNA from 1 species
UACGUAGGGUGCGAGCGUUGUUCGGAAUUAUUGGGCGUAAAGAGCUUGUAGGCGGUCUGUCGCGUCUGCUGUGAAAAUCCGGGGCUCAACCCCGGACUUGCAGUGGGUACGGGCAGACUAGAGUGUGGUAGGGGAGACUGGAAUUCCUGGUGUAGCGGUGAAAUGCGCAGAUAUCAGGAGGAACACCGAUGGCGAAGGCAGGUCUCUGGGCCACUACUGACGCUGAGAAGCGAAAGCAUGGGGAGCGAACAGG